CGCGCAGGCGCACGGCGCACUCCUUCGCGGUCCCCCCCUCUUCCCCCGGCCCCAGCGCAAUCGCACUGGACUCGGUUCUCCCGCCGCCGCCUUCGCGCAGGUGCGUCGCUCUCCCUCGCCACUUCCACUGCGCCGAAUCGCCGCAGCUGCGCAGGCGCCCCCGAGGCUCCCGGGGUUUACUGAGCUGGGGAAGCUCCUUUACGCAGAGCGCGCGUAGGCAGCGCUGACCUUCCCGCUUCCAGCUGCUUGGUCCCGGGCUCUCUGCAGCCGUAGUUGUGCUCCUCCCACCUCACUUUUCUUUUCUUGGUUUCAAUCCCUGGUUUUGCUAGCAAUUCCUCGUUUCUGUUAAGCGGGAAAGGUGGACUGCAUUACCCAUGUUUGAAACUGGGUUUGCGCGUUUGGGAAGCAACAAGGGGUUACUCUGCUGGAAAACUUGACAUUGCAAGUAAAGGGAUUUAUACCCUAAGGUUCCACAAGCUCUGGUGCGUGGAAGAGAGGGACAAAGAAACCCGGAGACUCAGGAAGGUUGGUGGCCCACCUCUUCUUUCCACUAUAUAAUUCUACUUCUAGAAAGGCAAGCGGAAGAGUAGCCAUGCAAAGGAUCUAGAUAUAUGCCCAGGAGUGGAAUUGCUAGAACAUAUGGAAACCUUCCCCAAGGAGCUCCUGUUCUUGAAAGCAGCUGGACACAUUGACCUACCACUGCCUGAGUCCUGCAUCACAUACUGUCACAGAGCAUCUUAGUUUUUGGAAAGAGUUUGUCUUCUCUGCCAGGCCAUGACAUACUCAGCCUUGAGACUGUGAGCUGCACGGGAAGCGGGGACAAUCUUUUCCCAGCACCUGAAGCAGUACCCGCUGCAUAGGGCACUCCAGAAAUGGAUGGAUCAACUGGAGUCACAGAGACCUGGAAGACGGGGCCUGGGACUGGCCAUGGGACAGGAGUUGUGUUUCCUAGAACCCGUCUUUCCUAAGGUGGACCCUGAGGACAUCAACCAUGUGGCAAAUGACUGCGACAAAGCAGGGGGCAAGGUGGGCCUCCAGUCUGCUCUGGGGACUCAGCUGGUACCUGAGAAGCCUCUCACCUGGGUAGAUGGGAAGAACUACUGAGCUGCUUUGGAAGAGAAGGCCAGAACCACAUUAAUUCGCUCAGAAUGAGACCAGUGGGCCCUGUCAUGUUCAAGUUAUCAACAUGGCCUUUAAGCCCCAGGAGGCCCAUGAACGGUCCUGGCAGUAAGAAGGCUCAGAAUGCCACCAGAGAGCGAUGGCCAUCUCUGCAUGCCCGCGUUCUGAGAAGUGGAAACAGUCCUCAGAGAAGAAGUACAUCUAAGCUCUAGUGAUGCCCCCCCCUAAAAGGUGGGGAGCAGGGAAAAGGAGGAAAAGCAGAAAAAGCAACUCCUUGGGAGCACUCUUGGAGAGAGAUGGCCCAGAAAGUCCCACAAAGAGAAGGAAACACAUUGCCUAAGAUCUGGCUUCUACACACGCGCCUCCCAGACAUGCCCGCGGCUUACGUCAUUCAGAGGGACGAGAGUGUUCUGGAAGAAAGGCUGCACGACCACGGCGAAGUCCUCGCGCUGCAGCUGUUUCGGACUCGCCCUCGGGCUGCAGAGUGAGGGGGUCUCUUGGGCAGCUGGGGAGGGUCAGCCAGCAGCCUCCAGCCCUUGGCAUCUCCAUGUGGGGCCAAAUUCCAGGAAGAAAGGGAACCACCUGGUCACCUGCCCAGCAAAUCUGGCCCUGAUAGGACUCCUCCGCCCCUGCAGAAUCUCCUCCCCCAUAACAGCAGUCACAAGGACUUUGACCCUUGGGCCUCAGAAGAUGGUGACUUUCUACAGGGUCAGAGCUGAGCUUCAGUAAGAUUCCAGCCCCAGCAGGAAUUCUCAUCCUGCACGUUGUACCUUAGCUCCAAGCCUGGCUUUCAAGGACAGUCCUAUCAAGGAUGUUAUAAAAGCUGCUGUUUCCUGAGUCCCUGCCCCACGGGGACCAUGCAUUUUACGGGCAUUUCUGAAAGGAGAUUUUACAGGUGGGAGUAAAAGGCCCAGAGAAUUUGUGUGGUUUGUACAAGGUCCGUAGCUUCUCAAUGGCAGAGCCAGGAUUUGAGGCCAGAUACGGCUGUCUUGAAACCUCCUUGCCUGGUGCUGCCUCUCAAAUACGGAACAACUCGCUGAAGUUGGAGUCUGGCAUCACAGACAAUGUCAGGGGCCCUUACGGAUCAUUUGAUCUGUCUGCCUCACUUUUCAGAAAAGCAAACUCAGGUCCAGAGGAAUAAAUUGACUUACGUACAGUAAGCAUUCAGUAAUGUAGCGGCAUUUCCAGAUGGGUUCCCAAGCCCCUGGCUAAUUGCUGAUGUCUGCCUGCUGGCCAGGCCUGUCUGGCUCUGCCUGCAUGGGUCUCACCCCCUAGCAGCUGUGAGCCCUGCUCUCCCCAGGUGCCUCAGCCCUGGGGCCACGUACGUGUACUUACUGGGCAGCCAGUGGCAUGACACAUUUCCCGCCUUGGCCCUGGUGCAGGCCAGCCAGCUCCAUGACCUCCACCAAGUUGACGAAAGCCCUUGGAAGCUGUGGGGAGCAGAAGGGUGGGUUUUAGAAGUCUCCAAGCAGUUUUAGAGGGCACUGGUCACUGCUUAUGAGAGCCUGGGGGGAUCAUCUACACUCUCAUGUCCCCCUCCUCAGUUUAACCAAUAAACUGAGGCCCAGAGAGGGAACAUGCCUUUUAUUAUCUCUUGGAACCUUCUUUAUUGACCCCACUUUACAGACUGGCAAUUGGAGACACAGAAGCCACUUGCUCAAAGUCCCAGUGCUAGUAAGCCACAAUGCCUGGCUACCAACCAGGCCAACUGGCCCCAGAAACAAGUUCUUUGCCACCAAACCACACAGUCAGAUCCAGUUAGAAUCCUCCCCUUAGAUGAGCUGGGCAGCUACCUCCCUCCCAUCCCGUCCAGGUACCUGCUGGAGGUGGGGCUGUGCUCAGCGUGCAUCUUGCUGAACACAACUUGUCUGGACGCACCCAGGGAGCAGCCCCUGGUGAGUGAGCAUCCAGCCAGGCUGCUGGCAGGAAGUGGGGCCCAGGAAUGUGCCACUGCGCUUUCCUACCUCCUUGUAGAAGAUGUCCAGGGCCUGUUGGAUGUGCCGAAGAUACUCCCCGGGCGAGUAGGCCUCCUGUGAAGAAAGAACGGUUCUCUUCAGCCCCUGGGCUGCACACUGAGAGGAGGAGGAGAAUAGCCUGAUGCCCAGCACAGAAGGGCACUGGACGGGCUGGGAAACCCAGCCCUUGUUGCUGGUGGACAGUCUUAGAAGAAGUCACGCACCUUGACCCUUAGCUAGACGCCAUGAACAGUCCCCACCCCACCCUGCUGCAUAGUUUCUCCAACCCAAAGGCAGGCCCUGUCUGUGCUGGGCCACACCGCCUCCUGCUCCAUCCCACUGGCCUCUGCCUUCCCAGCCACAACAGGACCCCCGUGGCCAUGUUCUCUUGUUCCUCUGACCUUUGGCCUGUGCUGGCCCUGCUGUCUGGAACCCUCUGCACUGCCUCCCCCGACUCAGCCCAAGGGUCCCACCUCUGACCCAUUUCCCAACUGGAGGCUGAUUUGGCCUGAGUUAAUCCUGGUGGUGGUCUUGGGGUCCUUUCCACAAAAAGAUGCUCUCAGGAGCGUAAACCUGUUUGCGUGAGGGACAGGAAUUGGGGGGGGGUCACUUCUGCCUCUAGAUUCUGGGCAGUGAGGGGAAGAGCCCCUGGGUGGGGGAGGCUGGUUCUCAUCAAGAAUUUGGUGACUGUCUCUGAGCCACAAGGAAUGAUAAAUGCCUUCUCCCUGCUGCCUGUGGCUGUCAAACAUUCUACCACGACCUUUGAGUUGUGGUAGCUGCUUAUUUUCUGGCCCAAUAAAAUAUAGCACAUCCUCAACUGAGAACAAGAUACAUUCCAGAAAUUACAACUUCCAAAAGUUUGGACUUAUUUCCCCAUAGAAACGUUAGGAACGGGUAGGGUUCCCAGACCGGCUGAGAUUGGGUAGCUCGUGUUGACCCUGAAGGACAGCAAGCCGUCGAUCGGAUGGGUUCAGUUUUAUCAACCCUAUUUAUGACACUGUUUUGGCCUUCUCCUACACCCCCACCUGCCAAAAAACACCAAGGGGCAGGGAUUCCACGCAGGUGGGGGUGGUUAUCCAUUGGAUACCAACGAACAGUGUGAGAGAGGCCGCCACCUCGGUAGUGCCUGCAGGGUGGGUACCUCCAGACACUUCUGGAAUCACGGAAUCAAUGUGGUGGCCACUCAGCAUCUCCUGCACGUGUGAGCCAUGGCUGCUGGGCAGGCUCGGGUGCCUGGGAGAGCUGGCCCGUGGCACCCUCCUGAGGGAGGUCCGGCUCUGGGUAUGGACAGUGACCUUGGCCAGCUGCUCCUUUCUCAGGUCCCCGAGGGGGCUGGGCUGGGGCCUACCGGAUUCUCGCAGUAAUGACACAAGUCGUUGCUCCCAAUGAAGAGUGUGAUGAGCUUCCAGUCUUUCUCUAGGUUGAUUUUCUGAGGGGACAGGAGAUACUGUUUAGACCUUGGUGCGGGGGGUGGUGUCACGUGUAAGGGGUGCUCACCAGGCCAGAUGGCCCCCCAUGUGCCUUCCACCGUCUUCACAUCACAGUGAAGAGAAGAUGCCAAGUGGGGCCUCCCUCACCCUCACCUUUGCGCUGGUCAAGGACUCCACCCAGAGCACUGUGCGUGCGUGUGCGUGUGUGUGCGUGCAUGCCUGCUCACACAGCACAGAGGGCUGCUUGCUCUUUGAGAGCCUCUUAGGAGAGCUGCAGUCCAGGGUGAGGUGGAAUGUAUUAACACACCCUGAAAACAUGAUCUAUAGGCCUUCAAAGGGGAGCCGAGGGCAAAAGAGCCAUCUAGAAGCAAAAGCCCAGCGCUGGCUCUGGGGAGAGCCCUUUGGGUCUGGGUCCGGGGAGCGGGGAGGAGGAGGGUGUGAAGGAGGAGCCCAGGGUGGACCAAGGGUGGGGCGGGGGCUGGGGAGGAGCCUGCUUUCAACUCAGCCAUUGUAGGAGUCCUGCCAGGAGCCAAAUUCCAAGGCAUAAACGCAGAGCAUUUUAAAAAGUGCUAGUGAGAAGGUUUAGAGGGGCCAAGGGAGCAGGAAGGAGGAAGGAUUGGAAUGAGAUACCUAUUUUUAGAAGCCAAAGUUUACAUAAUAGGGCUUGGGAAGCCAACUGUUGGGUUAAGUAGAAAGCUGCCAGGCCAAGGCCUGCCACCUCCCCGGACUCCGCUCCAUCUCUGCCUGCAGCAGUCCCUGGAGCGGAGGUGGCGUCGAGGUGGACACCCAUCUCCUCUGAGCUCAUCUGGCCCCUCUUGAAGACCAGCCUGAGCUGCUGUAGGGCAGAGGGAGCUCUUUCAGCCCCCCAGCUAGAGACAGAGCACCUCUUGGGGUGACCCCGGGUCCUGGACUCACAGGGCUGUUUUUCAUUCGCUCCACGAGGUCCCGGGCCUGGGCAGGCAUGUCCCUAGGUGGGGGAAGAGACAGGGAUGUUAGAGCUGGCUCAGGAGCAAGGGCUCAAGCUGUAGGAUUUGGGCCUGGCAAGAUGUUUCAGGAAGAAAAAUGUCAUACAAAGUUCAUUCCUUCAGCAUGUAUCGAAAGGCUUUCAAUUCUCAAGAAAUCUCAACCUAGUGAAAAUAAAGAUCUGCCGUGGGUCUCGGCACCACGUCACUCCAGACCCUGCCGGGGGCUGACAUGCAUCCAACUGCCCCCUCCGGCAGGCCUAGUCCUCUGUGGCCACUUUAGUGGGGGAAUCUGCUCAUCCUUCCCAUCAGGGAUGUUCCCUUAUAUCAUCCAGGUCUUUCAUUACAGGCUGAGCCUGUUCAGUUCUUCAGCUGCCUGUUUUAAAAAUAACCUUCUGUAUGUUUGAAAAAAGUCAUUGCCCUAAAUGAAUGCUCAGCUUUCUCCUCACCAGGCUUCAUGAUUCCUUUAACCUUUACCUCUGAGUCCCACUCUCUGCUCCUUUAAUCCUUUUGUUUUUCUUCUCUGUAGUUACUUCUGAUUCCCACACCACUCUCAUCUCCUCACUCUCCCCUGCCUCCCACAAAACAGGAUGGGGGAGACAAAUUUGGCACUAGCUCUCCCUUCACCUCCCAGAUGUCUGCCGUCUAUAAGGAAAUGAAUGCUUCUGGAUAAGAGAUAUGUCACCGGAACCCUACAGCGAUACGGGGUGUGAACCAGUGAUACACAUGACAACGGGGAAGUAUCUCCCC